rnacentral:rRNA from 1 species
UGGGGAAUAUUGCACAAUGGGGGAAACCCUGAUGCAGCCAUGCCGCGUGUGUGAAGAAGGCCUUCGGGUUGUAAAGCACUUUCAGCGAGGAGGAAAGGUUGAUGCCUAAUACGUAUCAACUGUGACGUUACUCGCAGAAGAAGCACCGGCUAACUCCGUGCCAGCAGCCGCGGUAAUACGGAGGGUGCAAGCGUUAAUCGGAAUUACUGGGCGUAAAGCGCACGCAGGCGGUUGGAUAAGUUAGAUGUGAAAGCCCCGGGCUCAACCUGGGAAUUGCAUUUUAAACUGUCCAGCUAGAGUCUUGUAGAGGGGGGUAGAAUUCCAGGUGUAGCGGUGAAAUGCGUAGAGAUCUGGAGGAAUACCGGUGGCGAAGGCGGCCCCCUGGACAAAGACUGACGCUCAGGUGCGAAAGCGUGGGGAGCAAACA